UACAGAGACUGCAAGCGUUAUUCGGAUUCACUGGGCGUAAAGGGUGCGCAGGCGGCCAAGUGUGUGAGGCGUGAAAGCCCGGGGCUUAACUCCGGAAUUGCACCUCAAACUACAUGGCUAGAGCAUUGGAGAGGGUAGCAGAAUUCACGGUGUAGCAGUGAAAUGCGUAGAUAUCGUGAGGAAUACCAGAGGCGAAGGCGGCUACCUGGACAAUUGCUGACGCUCGGGCACGAAAGCGUGGGGAGCAAAAGGG
rnacentral:rRNA from 1 species